UUUGUCGACAGUCUUGUUUCUGGUGGCAUACAAGCUUCAAUCACCAGCAUACAAUCUUAUGUGGGAUCUUUUUAGGCGACUAAAUCUACUCUACGGUAUAUUUUAUUAACUUUUCGGAUUUUCCCAUUACACUACAAAAUCUAUCACAAGAUUUCAUUUUUAAUGUAUAUUUAUGUUUUGCCAUUGAUCAUCGUCCCACUAUCUGCGAAAAUCCUCUCACGUCACUAUGUAUUAUUGAUGAUCAUAUUUUUAGAUAUGCUUUUUAUUUGAUUGAAGCGACAAUUGUAUAGAUGUUGGUUUUGGUUCUGUCACAUUUAGAAAUAUCUACUUUGGUAGGGUUUUGUAAGUUUUUCCUACGAACUCUGCCCAUUUUAUCCCAUCGGCAUCAUUGCGAGCAACCUAAAAUUUGGGUAUAAUUAUUGAGAUUGUGUGCUAGAAAUUCUUUAUUUGGUUUUCUAUACUCCCAGGAAGCAUCAAGGCAACCAGUGACCACCUGAAACUUUUGGGCAAGUCCACUUGAAAUUGAAAUUUUAAGUUAAUUUUGAAAUAAAUCUGUAAUAUAAUUGAAAGUUGGGUUUUAAACUAGAAUUAGUAUUCAAUUUAAAUAGUUAGAGUACUUUUUGAAAUUGGACACCAGGAAGCAUGAAUUGAUUUUGCACAAUAGCAACAAAACCAAUCUUUCUUGUGUGAUUGAUGCCCUGGUUUUAUAUUUUAGUUGCACCUCACGAAAGCGCACUGAAAGUUGGUUUGAGAGCUGCAAGUGUUCCACAUACACUAAAAAUAAUGAUAAAGGUAUACUCGUCAGCCUUCGUCCCUGCUGAAAGCACAUUUCAGGUAAGAGUUUGAGAGUUUUUCUAGCAUUGCCAUGUUGAGCAUACCCUGCAAUCAUAGCUCUCCAUGACACAACAUUUCGCUUUGACAUUCCAUUAAACACUUUGUGCCCACCCUCUACACUCCCACUCUUGACAUACAUAUCAACAAGGGCAGUUCGAACAACAACAUUGGGGGAAAGACCAAUAUUUUGCCAUUGAGUAGUGAGAGAAGUUGUUGAACUACUUCUGUUCCACAAGGUUACAGCCACUCUUUUAUUGGUCAGUAGUCCAGCCCACACCUAAAAUUUGUCAAAAAUUUAUAGAUUUAAGAAAAUAGCCUUUUCUAGAAAGGGAUUAUUUUGGUUUCUAAAAUAGGAUUAUAUUUGGUGGGCGGAGCAGUUGUAUAGAAUUAGACCAGAAAAAUUCCAUAGCUCAAAGUCUACUUGUCGGCUAGCUUUCGUCCCAUGAACACCUGAUAAAUAUACAAGUAGCUCAAAAGGUUUGGUAACUAAUAUUAAGUCAACUUGAAAGGAAUACAAUCAAGUAACUGAAAUUGAUCAAUGAAUUCAGAACCUUGAUUAACACAUUAAUGACUUCUUUGUUGCCACCAUUUGCAUCAUUUCCUGGCUGGUUGUCCUAACAUCACAACCGAUCAACAAGGGUGCCUGCAAGACAAAGAAACCCAUAUAUUAAGUGGUAGUUGGUUCAUGGGUAGCAAUGUUUGAUUCACAAAGAAUUUAUCAAUGCUGGAUAUUGAGGUUAUAAGCAUCAAUCGUUGUGUCCCACUUGCCCAAAGAAAAUUGUCAGAGACUUUUUAAAAUUCAUAUUUGAUCUGGAAGAUGCCAUGAACGUGUCUCCCUAGUAGACAUGUAUGCAAAAUGUUGAAGCAAUGAGAAGGAAAGUGAACAAUUUCAAAGAACUCCUCAAAGAAAUGUGGUCCCAUGGAAUGCCAUGAUUGCAAAAUACACACCGAAUGGACAUGUUGAAAAGGCUUUCGAAACUUUCAAGCAGCAAUUGGCAGCUGCGAAGUCCAUCUUGUAAUUAGCAGAAAUUUUGUUUUUCUUUAGUUCUUCCACACAUGUCCUUCAAUUUCAGGGAAUGGGGAAUUGACAGAGACAUGGGGCGAUCAAAGUGCCUGAGAAUUAAUCUCCUUCACUUCUAUGUGGCAACGGGAUGAGCCAACACUCAAAAAAGAGAUCCACUUCGUGAGGAUCUUUGCCACCAUAGAGGGCGCCUUCAAGACUCACAGAGUGGGUCUCUUUGUUGGUGGAUGGGGGAUUGAAUUCUUGUUUUAUUGACUAGAG